rnacentral:tRNA from 2 species
GGGGCUGAAGCUUUUUGGCGAAGCACCCGGCUUUUACCCGGGAGAGCAGAGUUCGAUUCUCUGUGCCCCUA